AGGUGCGUGGCUUAGUGGUUAGAGUAUUCGGCUCAUGAUCGUAAGGUCGUGAGUUCAAUUCCCGGUUGUGUCCU
rfam:Octopus bimaculoides Scaffold65570_contig_41, whole genome shotgun sequence.